GCUCAGCUGGCGCCUCGCUUCUGCUCUGACAGCCGGCGUGCGGAGGUCGGCCCGGGGCUCCCGCCUGCCCGGAGCCUGCCCAGGCCGCUGCGCGCUCUUCUGACCCCGAGUGUGCGUGUGCGGGCGCCGGCCCUCGAGUCCACUGGAGAACCCCACACGCUCACAUCCUCAGUUUUAAUGUUUUGGGGCACUGGGGAUUCCACGGGGGUCUUUCCACUGAGCUGCGCCCUAGCCCUUUCUUAUUUAGAGACAGCGUCUCCCUAAGUGGCUAAGUUGCCCAUGCCAGGCUCCACCUGCGGUCUUCCUGCCUCGGCCUCCCGGAGUGCGGGAUGACAGGCGUGUGCACCCCACCCGGCCUUCUCAUUUGCAUCAGGUCCUUGCUAGGUGGCAGGAGGCCUACUGCGUGCGAUGCUGUGUGACUCACUGCCUACCUCAGGAGGUGAGAAGGGGCCUGCACGCAUUCAGCGUAGACCGGAGUUUUUCUCUUACUUUCCACAGGGUGGGUGCGAUCGGAGGGUGCAGAGCCGCGCUGACACGGUCGUGUGUGCGCGUGCUGUGCAUCCAUGCACACGCAGCAGAGAUCACCUCGGACGUCGAGGUCAGCUGGAUACCACGGACACAGGCAGGGGAGAGCUGAGCAAGCUGAAAGGUUGGGGGCAGGCGACCCAACGUCCACGAGGCCAACGCAGAAGAGCCCAGCAGCGGGACCUGGGACAGGACCCGAGGUUCAGGGCUCUUUGGCCAGCCCGACUCGGCCUCCUGUCAGGAGGGUGUGGAGAGAGCUAUGCCCCAGGGUGCAGGACAGAUCGAAGGAGAGCCUGCCACGGUCCUCAGGUCACAGUGCACCCCCACUUGAACAGUGCGGCCCUGCUGUAGCUCUCCCUGUCCCCUCUGUCUCCAGUCCUCCUGAGCUGCGCGGGGCAUCAAGCGUCCUUCUUCCUUCCCGGACUCUUCCCCUCCCUGGGCAGAGGGCUUGGUGGAGGAGCAUUUGUCUAGUGCAUGUGAGGCCUGUGUUUGACCUCCAGCACUGCGUGAACCCUGGGUUCUAA
rnacentral:lncRNA from 1 species